UACGUAGGGUGCGAGCGUUUAAUCGGAAUUACUGGGCGUAAAGCGUGCGCAGGCGGUUCGUUGUGUCGGCGGUGAAAGCCCCGGGCUUAACCUGGGAAUGGCCGUUGAAACUGGCGAACUGGAGUGUGGCAGAGGGGGGUGGAAUUCCGCGUGUAGCAGUGAAAUGCGUAGAUAUCGGAAGGAACACCAGUGGCGAAAGCGGCUUCCUGGUCCAGCACCGACGUUUCAGGCACGAAAGCGUGGGGAGCAAACAGG
rnacentral:rRNA from 1 species